AGAUCUCCCUGGAGGAGUUCAAGGAGGCGGCCAAGAGCGACCCGUCCAUCGUGCUCCUCCUCCAGUGCGACCUGCAGAAAUAGGCUCCUCCCCCCCCACCCCCCCCCCCCGCCAAACAGACUGCACCGAGAGAAGAUCACGUUCCAUUCAAUCUGCAGCUACUUCCAACCUGAGAGCAGAAAAUUAAGAGAAAAAAAACACAAAAAAAAAAUACAUGCUUGGACUGACCUUUCAACGAUUCCGCUUCUGGUGUUUGAAACACUUUGUGUGCAUGAGAAUGUUGUCCGCUAUUUAAAAAAAACUGACCUGAAGAUUUCCACGUGAUGUAUUACAGUGUGCACGCGCCACUGCAGGAGUGGGGGGGGGUGGAUGCAGAGGUUACGUGCACAGGGACGCACGGAUUACACGUGAGCAAACACACACCCACACAAACCGAGACACACACACAAACACACCUAUACAUGCACACGCACACACGAAAACACAGACACAAUCCCUCACCACGUAUUUACAUAUUGCACAAAUAUAAAUAUGAGUAUUUAAAUAAAUGAAGAUAAAUAAAUAUGAUAUAUAUUUAAAUUAUUUAAAGAACUACUGCCAAAAUGUGAAGUGUGCAAAGUGAUUUUCGAUAAGGGUUUCAUUCUAUCGUAACACGCACGGCCACGCCCCCUGCGGGCCCCGCCCUCUGCCUACCGCUUCUCUCCCUAGUCUACUGGCUCCGCCUCCGUGUUUCAUAAUAGAGUGGCGAAGUCACGCCCCUUCCGGUAGAGGCCAUGGGGCCUAUGAGAUCGAAAAAUAUGAAUGGGUUUAGAUGGAGAGAAAGUAAUUAUCUUCUGGUCCCAGUCUUUAUAUGCCCCGGGUUACACAUAAUGUUGUUUGUGGAUUUAAAUGGUAAUUUUUCAUGUCUUGAGUUUUACCGUUUAUUGUGCAAUUUUUCAGUUAAAGGCUGUAGAGAAAACACAAUGAGAAAGACUACAUGUCUCGUAUGUGCCGUCACGCUCCCUGCGACUGGUGUGGACAAGACCAACAAUCUCCCCAUCGGCAUAACUGAAACUCUCCACAUGCAACGACUUAUAAUGUUUUUCACCUCUUUUUAUGCUUUUAUCCUAAAAAACUAACAUUAUCAAACCUCUUCACGAAAAUGCUUAGUUUUCUUUGCAUGAAAAAUUAUCAUUUAAAUCCACAAACAACAUAUGUGUAAUCCGGGGCAUAUAAAGACUGGGACCAGAAAAUAAUCCCUUUCUCUCCAUUGUAACCCAUUCAUAUUUUUCGAUCUCAUCGGGGAUCUACCGGAAGUGGCGUGACUUCGCCACUACACUCUCCCAACGUUAUCCCUCCUAACACGAUGUUUCUGAUAGGCCUACUUAAAACGAUAUUUUACCUGAACACACCACACAACCACACACACACAACCACCACACCCACACACACAGACCGCUAAGCCUUGGUCCGACUCCUUCUCCGUUUAGAAACAUGCUUGUAACUGUCCGUAACCGAAAAAUGUAAACGUCGUUAAUUUGCAUGCAUUUUGGUUCUGCCUUAAAAAGAAGAAAAAAAACGAAUCUCCACUUGUUGCAUCCUUCCAGUAUUAAAACCGAAGACGGCAAAGCCUUAUCGAAGAGUUGCGGUGACAUUUUUAAAGCCCCGCAAUAAAAUAUUUUCAUGGGAGCGAGUGAGUGGAGCCGGCGUUCUGCCCGUGUUGUCGUGUGAGAUGUGCGUUUGGCCAGAAAGUGGGAGCAUGUUUUUUUCUGCUAGGCUAGCUUUAGUGUGAUGUGAUAAUGUAGUUAUUCGCCCCCUUCCUUGAGUGCAUCCUUGCACUUGCCCAUCUCACGGCACUACUUUCUGGUUGAGUAAACGUUGACAAAUCUAAUUUUCCCAAGAAAUUAUUUCCCAUGGGAUACAAUCAAUAUGAUGAACUUUGCGAUAUGGAUUCGUUAAAUAAGAGUUGUCCUCGUUAGUUGAAUGCCUUCACAGGGAGCCAACACGACUCGUGCUGCUCAUGGCGUAACUUUGCACGAGAACCCUAAAAAUCGAGAAAUGACUCAUCUCAAAGGUAAAGGAUUCAAAACGAUGUUUGAAAUAUGAUUUUGCUUAUAAUGUGUCCCCAUUGUGCGACUCUUCAGAUCUGAUAGCACGACCGAAAACCAUCGAGUAACUCGUUUGUGUUCAGGGAAGGGAAACAAAAUGGCGGAAGAAUAUAAAAAGAGAAGGCUAGUUCCACCUACAUCCGGGGAAAGACCUAAAGCAACGUGAAGAGUAGUUAGAAAACGCUCCCUGACCCCACGUGAAGCUUUCCCCGCUCUAGAGCUCCUCUCGCUGGCUAAUCAAAUCUUUUUGUACUUUUUUACUCCCUUUCUCCUACAUACGCAUUAUGAAGUUGACUAUUAACUGAAACCACCGUUCCCUUUAUUUGAGUGUACGGCUGCCAACUGCAUAGACCGGCGACGGACAAACGGAUGUAAAAACAGUCAAAUAAUCUGUUUAAUGACCCUGGUUGUCGAGUCUGCAGAUUGUCCUUCAGAGAGCUAUUCAGUAACACUUUAUAAUAAGGUGCCAUAAUAAACAGCAAACUAGUCAUUACCUAACCCUUUGUUAAUAUUUGCUAAUUGUUGCAAAAAUAUCUAUUUGGCACAAGUUAAUGUUUUUUUCAUCAUUAAUUAAAUAUUAGUUGUCUGGACAACCCUAACUCAACCCUAACCAGCCACACUCUGUGGUCAGUGAAGAAAAACGAUUAACUUGUGCCAAAUAUAUAUUUUAGUAACAAUUAACAAUGAUUAACAAAGGGUUAGGUAAUGACUAGUUUGCUAUUUAUUAUGGCCCCUUAUUAUUAAGUGUUACCGACUAUUCUCCUGGCCCUGAUUGACAGCCCCACUGAGUCUCUUCCAAACACAAUAGAGAAAGUAUGUCAACACAAACCAUUUGGACUCGUCAGGGCCUGUUGAUAUAGCGGUGAGGUGGGAGGAUCAUCGCACUGCAAUGGCGCCAGCGGCGACACAGACGCACUCCCAUCAGCAGUUCUUAACGACGGCUCUCCGACCACGUCUUUAACCUGAAAAUCUUUAUAUACAAUUUCAACUCUUGUUGUUCCUAUUGCCGUGACGACCGAGGUACCGAACGUAAGCAGCAACCACCAGUGUUUAAGGAUUAUUUUGUAGCAUGUAUUGUCGCCCCCAAUGACAUGGCUGCGUUGUCCCGUGUUGUGAUUUAAUCUAAUAAAAGAUAUGAACUCUA